GCAAAUGUCAGUCAAUGUAACCUGUCUAUACUGUGUUAUUUGAGGUUUAGGAUAGAUACCUAUGAUUCUCCAUUUAGGCCAACCUCUUCCUGCUCUCAUGACCCCCCUCUUCCAUUGGCUGGGGAUCUGGGGGGGAAGGAUUUAGCACUAUCACAUUUUCUUGUCAACAGAAAAAACGUCAGAAAGCAAAUUCAGUUGAUGUGGAGCAGAAGACAAGAAAGAAGAAGGAGAGGGGCACUUCAUCCCCCUCUCCAAUUCCAUCUGACCGUUCUGAACGGAAUGGCUCCGCUACCUCUGACCCCUCACCCUCUGACCAACUCUCCUCCCUCCAUCCACCUCCCUCUCCUGUUAAAUGUUCCUCUCAGCCUUGCUCUCCUGCUAAACAACCCUCUGUACCCCGGUCACCUGCCAAAAACCCUUCCCCAGUGAAAUCCUCUCCAGUGGUGUCCCACCCUAGUUCUCCCUCUCCUACCAACCCUCUGGACCGUCAUGGAGACACCAGUCAGGAGGGCACAACAGUCAGACCUCUGUCUCUUCAGGACCACUCCAGUCCAAGGCCCCAGAGACCAGUCUCAGCCACCAGAAGCAUGACUCUUCCCAGGGCCAGCUCAGCCACCAGAGGGUCAGAAGAGACCCAGGGGGCCAGAGGAGAACAGGUGGCACUGGUCAACAUGGAACUUCUUGGGUUGCCUAACAUUGGCAACACUUGCUUCCUUAACGCCACCCUGCAGUGCCUCCUGGUCCUGCCUUCCUUCUCAAAGGAAAUCCUGCACCAGGAACAACUCUGGAGCUCCUCCCCCCUUCUCCAACCUGCUCAGGAGUCUGUCUGAUGUGCACCGUUCAGGUUUACCUGACAGUGUGGAAAACCAGGCCUCAAAAGCAGACCUCAUGUGGAAGGUCAAGUACUCCUUGUCGGGAUACGAUUUGAAGUAUCUGGGGGACACGCAACAGGAUGCACACGAGUUACUUGUCAAUAUGCUGUGCCAGCUGAAGGAGGAGGGCAUGAUUCUGAAGACACUCGGGAUGAACUAUACCUGCCCUGUUUCCCAGCUGGAGUUCCAGCUUGUGUCGGUGCGCACAUGUACCAGCUGUGGCCGCGAGUCGUCCGCCAGAGAGGACUACAACCACCUCUCAUUGGACUUCAGCCCUGAGCGCACCUUGCUGAACAGCCUAGCACUCACUUUCAAAAGUGAACAGGUUGAAUUCACAUGUGAGGGCUGUAAAGGCCUCCACGCCUCAAAGGUGGAGCAGUUCCACACACUGCCUCUUGUGCUGGUUUUGCACCUGAAGAGGUUUGGAGGACCUGGGGGGUUGGAGAAGCUGGAGGCUCCUCUUUUGUUUCCUUCGGAGCUGAGGCUCUCCACCCUCUGUGGGGACAUGGUGCCACACCUGCACAGUGCCAGCCCACAGGCCCUCACCAACCAGGCCCCCAGCAUCCAGGGGUCCAUCCCCCAGACCCUCGCCAGCCAAGUCUCCAGCCCACCUGGAGCGUCCAAAGACAGCGCCCUCUGCUGUUCAGAAGCAGAAGCCAGUACAGUCAGUGAAUGGUUACUACCAGCUGACUGGCGUAGUCUCUCAUUUGGGAGGCUCCGCAAACUCCGGGCACUACAUUAGUGACAUAUUGCAUGCCAGUGGAAACUGGUUCUGCUGUAACGACAGCCAGGUGUCAAUGUCCAAUGAAGCCACUGUGCUGAGGACCAGAGCCCGGAGUGCCUACAUGCUCUUCUAUAUGUUCAGGGCAAUAGAGCGGGAGGCCCCAGCACACAGGGCCUAACAGGGCCACCAGCAUCAGCCCCAGCCUAAACAGGGGCAGCACCUGGACCAGUCUCAAAACCCCCAGCCCAGCAACAGGGGCAGCACUUGGCCCAACAUCAACACACCCAGCCCAGCCUCAACAUGGGAAGAACCAGGCCCAGUCUCAACAUGGGCAGAAUAAGACCCAGCCCCAACACCCACAGACCUGCCUCAACAGGUGCAGCAUUCAGCCCAACUUCAAUCAUGCUGCUCUUCAACACGAGCAUGAACAUUCUUUCAGUAGCUUAUGUCAUAAAUAUCUGCCCUUGAUUUGACUACUUCACCUAAUGUAUAAAGCGUAUCAAGUAUACACACUAAAUGUAGUACACAUGUAGAUGUGGUGGAUAGAGAGUGUGAUUAUUUAGAGGAUAUAACAUCCCUUCUAUUUGGUUUGGUUUGAAAUCCUCCUGUUGUGAAAUACACUGUGGUGUCUAACCUCUUAUUCAGCAUGGUCACACCGGAAGACCUGCAAUAUUAAUAAAGACAAGCAAAUGUAAGACAAUCCCAUUUAAGAUGAUUCUGUUGACCGUUGUAACUCUUUAACUCAGGAAGAUUUAUCGUCUGGGAUUCAGGCCGGUCCUAACAGGAAACGUGACAAAGGGAAGCAGCUGUAAUGGAGCCUUCUAACACCCAAUCAGGUCUGGAGGAGGAAUGUCACAUAAAGAUUCAGAGAUGCUAUGAGAAUCUUUUGAAGUUACUCUCCAGUUGUAUCCAUUUGAAUAAAUACAGACAUGAAAAUGCUGGGCUUUGGAUGUGACCUUGGUUCUGUGAGUAGAGUAACGGGUCACCAAACGACCUAUGGGAACUCCUUCCCUUUAUCGUGAUGUGAUUGAGAUGCUUAAUAUCAACGAUGUUUACAAUGACGCCACACCCUUACUGUACCAUUGUGACCUGUCACUAUUAAAGGCUGUGUGACGUGACAUACUGUCUUUUCUUAUCUCC